AUUGAACGCUGGCGGCAGGCCUAACACAUGCAAGUCGAACGAGUGGCGGACGGGUGAGUAAUGUAUGGGACACUGCCUGAUGGUGGGGGAUAACUACUGGAAACGGUAGCUAAAACCGCAUACCAUCAGAUGUGCCGAUGUGGGAUUAGCUAGUUGGUGGGGUAACGGCUCACCAAAGCGACGAUCCCUAGCUGGUCUGAGAGGAUGACCAGCCACACUGGGACUGAGACACGGUCCAGACUCCGACGAGAGGCAGCAAUGCGGAAUAUUGCACAAUGGGCGCAAGGCUGAUGCAGCGAUGCCGCGUGUAUGAAGAAGGCAUUCGGGUUGUAAAGUUCUGUCAGCGGGGAGGCGUUACAAGCAGAAGAAGCACCGGCUAACUACGUGCCAGCAGCCGCGGUAAUUC
rnacentral:rRNA from 1 species